CUUGAGGAGAUCGGGUCCAUCUUUAGACCGGGUCCAUUGUUAGACCAGGUCCAUCUUUAGAUCGGGUCCAUCAUUAGACCAGGUCCAUCCUUAGACCAGGUCCAUCUUUAGACCAGGUCCAUUGUUAGUUUUUAGCUCAAAAUAAAAGCACAGAAAACAAGGAAGUAAAAGAUGAAUGUCCGAACCUGAAGCCCCUCCUCCUCCUCCUCCUCCUCCUCUUUCUCCUCCUCAUCUUCAUCUCAGAUCGUCGUACUGUAACUCCAGUCUGACGGAUCUGCUUCUCUUCGGGGGGAGGUCCCUAUUCCGUUGGGGACGGUCCUUAUUCCGUCGGGGGCAGGUCCUAUUCAAGGCGGGGGGCGGUCCGACACGGCAGCGUUUUUAACGGACAUUUUCUAUCUUAUUUUGACGUCUGUCUGUCUGAAGAGGAAGCCCCGCCUCUGCCAUGACAUCAAGUGCCUUCAGACUCAAAGGAGGAGGAGCCUAUCAGCGAACAGAACCCGGACGGCACCAGACAAUGACAUCAUCGCACAGACGACCUCGGAUUAUGCAGAAAAAACAUUGACGUUUGCAGACAUUUUUGAAGCCAUGACAGGAGACGACGAACCUGCGAUCAGAAGCGGAGCACGCGACCAUAAAAGGACUUCCUGUCGGACCCGGACAGGACUCCGAACUGUCGUAGUUUUUAAGAAGUUUUCAGACUGGGACACUUCCUGAAACCAUCAGUUACCUUAAAAAACAGGAAGAAACAUGUAAAAUCCGUCUUAUAUUGUUAUGAUAUUCAGAAGAAAAGGGGAAUAUUUACAGGUUUAUGUCUGAUCAUGUGAUCAUGUGGGCGGAGUUUCAGUUCAGGGUUUUCUGGGUUUAUAUGGUUUGUGUUUGUUUUUUUGCUGAACUAAAAAAAAGACACUCCCAAAAAGACAAAAUCUGAGUCAAGUAUUUAUUAUUAACGUCAGAAAAAUGGUUUAAGAGAAAACAGCAUCAGAAUUCAUGAAGAAAUAUUUUU